GAUGAAGAACGUAGCGAAAUGCGAUAAGUAAUGUGAAUUGCAGAAUUCAGUGAAUCAUCGAAUCUUUGAACGCAUCUUGCGCUCCUUGGUAUUCUGAGGAGCAUGCCUGUUUGAGUGUCAUUAAAUUCUCAACUACACUGACUUUGAAUUGGUGUGGCUUGGAUUUGGGUGGGAAAAUUGUUGUGGGCUUUUUGUAUAGUCUGCUCCCCUGAAAUUGAUUAGCGGUACCUUUGUGGAACUGUCUACAGGUGUGAUAAUUAUCUACAUCCUAGACAUCUGCUGGAAUGCUGCUUUCUAAACCUUACUUGUAUUGACAAUCGUGACCUCAAAUCAGGUAGGACUACCCGCUGAACUUAAGCAUAUCAAUAAGCGGAGGA
rnacentral:misc_RNA from 1 species